GAGUAGUACUAGGAUGGGUGACC
rnacentral:siRNA from 1 species